UACGUAGGGAGCGAGCGUUGUCCGGAUUCAUUGGGCGUAAAGAGCUCGUAGGCGGCUUGGCAAGUCGGGUGUGAAAACUCCAGGCUCAACCUGGAGACGCCACCUGAUACUGCCAUGGCUAGAGUCCGGUAGGGGAUCACGGAAUUCCUGGUGUAGCGGUGAAAUGCGCAGAUAUCAGGAGGAACACCGGUGGCGAAGGCGGUGGUCUGGGCCGGUACUGACGCUGAGGAGCGAAAGCGUGGGGAGCGAACAGG
rnacentral:rRNA from 1 species